rnacentral:rRNA from 1 species
UUCUGACCGUAAACGAUGCCAACUAGCGAUCCGCCGGUGGAUUUUUAGCCCUGGUGGGUAGCUUCCCGGAAACGAAAGUCUUCCGGUUCCGGGGGAAGUAUGGUUGCAAAGCUGAAACUUAAAGGAAUUGACGGAAGGGCACCACCAGGAGUGGAGCCUGCGGCUUAAUUUGACUCAACACGGGGAAACUCACCCGGCCCGGACACCGUAAGGAUUGACAGAUUGAUAGCUCUUUCAUGAUUCGGUGGUUGGUGGUGCAUGGCCGUUCUUAGUUCGUGGAUCGAUUUGUCUGGUUUAUUCCGAUAACGAGCGAGACUCUAGCCUACUAAAUAGUAACGAGAUUAUCAAUGUCCUCAGUUGCUUCUUAGAGGGAUUUUCGGUGUUUAGCCGCACGAGAUUGAGCAAUAACAGGUCUGUGAUGCCCUUAGAUGUCCGGGGCUGCACGCGCGCUACACUGGCGAAAUCAGCGUGCUGUAUCCAUUCUCGAAAGGGAUUGGUAAACCCAUGAAAAUUUGCCGUGCUUGGGAUCGGAAAUUGCAAUUAUUUUCCGUGAACGAGGAAUUCCAAGUAAGUGCGAGUCAUCAACUCGCUCUG